rnacentral:rRNA from 1 species
UACGUAGGUCCCGAGCGUUGUCCGGAUUUAUUGGGCGUAAAGCGAGCGCAGGUGGUUUAUUAAGUCUGGUGUAAAAGGCAGUGGCUCAACCAUUGUAUGCAUUGGAAACUGGUAGACUUGAGUGCAGGAGAGGAGAGUGGAAUUCCAUGUGUAGCGGUGAAAUGCGUAGAUAUAUGGAGAAACACCGGUGGCGUAAGCGGCUCUCUGGCCUGUAACUGACACUGAGGCUCGAAAGCGUGGGGAGCAAACAGG